CUUCCGUAGGUGAACCUGCGGAAGGAUCAUUACCGAGUGUAGGGUUCCUAGCGAGCCCAACCUCCCACCCGUGUUUACUGUACCUUAGUUGCUUCGGCGGGCCCGCCAUUCAUGGCCGCCGGGGGCUCUCAGCCCCGGGCCCGCGCCCGCCGGAGACACCACGAACUCUGUCUGAUCUAGUGAAGUCUGAGUUGAUUGUAUCGCAAUCAGUUAAAACUUUCAACAAUGGAUCUCUUGGUUCCGGCAUCGAUGAAGAACGCAGCGAAAUGCGAUAACUAGUGUGAAUUGCAGAAUUCCGUGAAUCAUCGAGUCUUUGAACGCACAUUGCGCCCCCUGGUAUUCCGGGGGGCAUGCCUGUCCGAGCGUCAUUGCUGCCCAUCAAGCACGGCUUGUGUGUUGGGUCGUCGUCCCCUCUCCGGGGGGGACGGGCCCCAAAGGCAGCGGCGGCACCGCGUCCGAUCCUCGAGCGUAUGGGGCUUUGUCACCCGCUCUGUAGGCCCGGCCGGCGCUUGCCGAACGCAAAUCAAUCUUUUCCAGGUUGACCUCGGAUCAGGUAGGGAUACCCGCUGAACUUAAGCAUAUCAAUAAGCGGAGGAA
rnacentral:rRNA from 1 species